rnacentral:rRNA from 1 species
CAGUCGCCGCGGGAAUACGAAGGGUGCAAGCGCUACUCGGAAUUACUGGGCGUAAAGCGUGCGUAGGUGGUUCGUUAAGUCUGAUGUGAAAGCCCUGGGCUCAACCUGGGAAUUGCAUUGGAUACUGGCGAGCUAGAGUGCGGUAGAGGGUAGUGGAAUUCCCGGUGUAGCAGUGAGAUGCGUAGAGAUCGGGAGGAACAUCUGUGGCGAAGGCGACUGCCUGAACCAGCACUGACACUGAGGCACGAAAGCGUGGGGAGCAAACAGGAUUAGAUACCCCCGUAGUCCCUGUCUCUUAUAC